UGAUCACUAAAAGCGCGCGAGCGCCGCUGUUUAAACUUCAACGGUUCAAGGUGGGCUGACUGCAUUCAGCGCUUGGGAGAACGACGAUUACAUUGCUAAAAGAAGAAAGGUGGUUUAUGGCGUUGUCCUGGCCUGCGCAAUUCUCCGCCGGGAGAGUGUAUUGGACCUAUACCUAUAGGAAAAUAUGAAGCAAAGUUUCAGUCAAAUCGCCGUCAGACUGCUGUUAUAAACAUGAAUUCAAACCAAGAAGAACAAAGAGAAGCUGAUGGGGAUGUUUCCUUUUUUUUCUGUGGAUAACUAUGUUCAUCUAUCUCAGAGAGCACUGUUAAAGUUUUAGCACCAGCUUAUCAACAAUAACACAAAAGGUCUGGAGUGCAGCAUUACUUGUUUGGUCAUCUACAUUCAGAUGAAAACACCACACUUCUCUCUAAUUCAAGAUGUCAAGCCUACUCAUCGUAAAGAGAGUUAGCAUCAAAAUGGAUGUGUCACUGACCAAUAACACUUUUUGUUCAGUAUGGAGCAUCCAAAAGCCAUCACUCAGUUCAUUUCAAAUCAGCACUAUUUAGCUCUUCCCAGUGCUGAAAAUGUCAUGGGUCCUUUGUUUUUAUUCUUUAAAUGCUUAUCUGAAUGUAAAAUUAAUAUUUAAUGCUUAUAAAAAAACAAAAAAAACAAUAGUUGCCUUUUUGAGUUAGGUGGAGGGGGUUGAAAAAACAAUAUUUCUAAAAUGGAGAGUGCUAUUUUAGACAGGUAAAAAUAAUAAAAAACUACAAAUAAAUAAAGAAACAUGGAUUUAUGUUAAUCCCUGUAGCUGUUGCACUAUGAAAUGCUGUGUUAUAUAUUGCUCGUCAUUGUAAAUGCUAAUAAAAGUGUCUUAAA